rnacentral:rRNA from 1 species
GUAGGGAAUAUUGGUCAAUGGACGAAAGUCUGAACCAGCCAUUCCGCGUGCAGGAAGAAGAUUCUAUGGAUUGUAAACUGCUUUUAGCAGAGAAGAAACGCCUUCAUUGAUGAGGGUUUGACGGUAUCUGCGGAAUAAGCACCGGCUAACUCCGUGCCAGCAGCCGCGGUAAUACGGGGGGUGCAAGCGUUAUCCGGAAUCACUGGGUUUAAAGGGUGCGUAGGCGGGAAAUUAAGUCAGUGGUGAAAGUAUGUUGCUUAACGAUAGAAUUGCCGUUGAUACUGAUUUUCUUGAAUUGGGUUGAGGUUAGCGGAAUGUGACAUGUAGCGGUGAAAUGCAUAGAUAUGUCAUGGAACACCAAUUGCGAAGGCAGCUAGCUGGGCCUUGAUUGACGCUGAGGCACGAAAGCGUGGGUAGCGAACAGGAUUAGAUACCCCGGUAGUCC